rnacentral:rRNA from 1 species
UACGUAGGGGGCUAGCGUUGUCUGGAAUCAUUGGGCGUAAAGCGCGCGUAGGCGGCCCGGUAAGUCCGCUGUGAAAGUCCAGGGCUCAACCCUGGAAAGCCGGUGGAUACUGCCGGGCUAGAGUCCGGAAGAGGCGAGUGGAAUUCCUGGUGUAGCGGUGGAAUGCGCAGAUAUCAGGAGGAACACCAAUGGCGAAGGCAGCUCGCUGGGACGGUACUGACGCUGAGGCGCGAAAGCGUGGGGAGCGAACAGG